GACGAACGCUGGCGGCGUGCUUAACACAUGCAAGUCGAGCGGAAAGGCUCCUUCGGGGGUACUCGAGCGGCGAACGGGUGAGUAACACGUGAGUAAUCUGUCCUUGGCUUUGGGAUAAGCCCCGGAAACGGGGUCUAAUACCGGAUAUGACCGGCCACUGCAUGGUGGUUGGUGGAAAGUUUUUCGGCCAGGGAUGUGCUCGCGGCCUAUCAGCUUGUUGGUGGGGUAAUGGCCUACCAAGGCUUCGACGGGUAGCCGGCCUGAGAGGGUGACCGGCCACACUGGGACUGAGACACGGCCCAGACUCCUACGGGAGGCAGCAGUGGGGAAUAUUGGACAAUGGGCGGAAGCCUGAUCCAGCAACACCGCGUGAGGGAU
rnacentral:rRNA from 1 species